rnacentral:rRNA from 1 species
AACGAACGCUGGCGGCAUGCCUAACACAUGCAAGUCGAACGAGACCUUCGGGUCUAGUGGCCCACGGGUUCGUCACGCGUGGGAACCUUCCCUUAGGUUCGGCAUAACUCCCCGAAAGGGGUGCUAAUACCGUAUCAUGUCUUCUGCCCAAUGAUUUAUCGCCUUUGGAUGGGCCCGCGUUGGAUUAGCUAUUUGUUAGGGUAAAAGCCUACCACGGCGACGAUCCAUAGCUGGUCUGAGAGGAUGAUCAGCCACACUGGGACUGAGACACGGCCCAGACUCAUACGGGAGGCAGCAGUGGGGAAUAUUGGAACAUGGGCGAAAGCAUGAUCAUGCAAGGACGCGUGAGUGAUGAAGGCCUUAGGGUUGUAAAGCUCUUUUAACCGGGAUGAUAAUGACAGUACCGGGAGAAUAAGCUCCGGCUAACUCCGUG